AACGCGAAGAACCUUACCUGGUCUUGACAUCCCAGGAACCCUUCAGAGAUGAGGGGGUGCCUUCGGGAACCUGGAGACAGGUGCUGCAUGGCUGUCGUCAGCUCGUGUCGUGAGAUGUUGGGUUAAGUCCCGCAACGAGCGCAACCCUUGUCCGAUGUUACCAGCGGGUUAUGCCGGGGACUCGUCGGAGACUGCCGGGGUCAACUCGGAGGAAGGUGGGGAUGACGUCAAGUCAUCAUGCCCCUUACGUCCAGGGCUGCACACAUGCUACAAUGGCCGGUACAACGGGCUGCUAUCCCGCGAGGGGGAGCCAAUCCCAAAAGCCGGUCUCAGUUCGGAUUGCAGUCUGCAACUCGACUGCAUGAAGUCGGAGUCGCUAGUAAUCCCGGAUCAGCAACGCCGGGGUGAAUACGUUCCCGGGCCUUGUACACACCGACUGUAC
rnacentral:rRNA from 1 species